rnacentral:tRNA from 1 species
AAAAAGUUAGUUUAUAUAAAACAUUAAUUUGUCAAAUUAAAGAAGCUUAUCUAUAAGCACUUUUUA